GAGUGAAGCGGCAAUAGCUCAAAUUUGAAAUCUGGCUCUUCGAGUCCGAGUUGUAAUUUGUAGAGGAUGUUUCGGGUGCGCCCGCAGUUUAAGUUCCUUGGAACAGGACGUCAUAGAGGGUGAGAAUCCCGUCUUGAACUGUACGGCAAGUCCAUGUGAAACUCCUUCGACGAGUCGAGUUGUUUGGGAAUGCAGCUCAAAAUGGGAGGUAAAUUUCUUCUAAAGCUAAAUAUUGGCCAGAGACCGAUAGCGCACAAGUAGAGUGAUCGAAAGAUGAAAAGCACUUUGAAAAGAGAGUUAAACAGUAUGUGAAAUUGUUAAAAGGGAAGCGUUUGCAACCAGACUUGUUUUUAACAGUUCUACCGCAGUUCUCUGUGGCUUAUUCUGUUAAUCCAGGCCAGCAUCAGUUUGGGUGGCUCGUUAAAGGCCUUGGGAAUGUAUCUACUCCUUCGGGUGUAGACUUAUAGCCCUCGGUGUAAUAGGGUCUACCUGGACUGAGGAACGCGCUUUAUUGCU
rnacentral:rRNA from 1 species